AGAGUUUGAUCCUGGCUCAGGAUGAACGCUAGCUACAGGCUUAACACAUGCAAGUCGAGGGGAAACGAUAUUGGAAGCUUGCUUCCGAUAGGCGUCGACCGGCGCAUGGGUGAGUAACGCGUAUCCAACCUGCCCAUCACUUGGGGAUAACCUUGCGAAAGUAAGACUAAUACCCAAUGACGUCUCUAGAAGACAUCUGAAGGAGAUUAAAGAUUUAUCGGUGAUGGAUGGGGAUGCGUCUGAUUAGCUUGUUGGCGGGGUAACGGCCCACCAAGGCAACGAUCAGUAGGGGUUCUGAGAGGAAGGUCCCCCACAUUGGAACUGAGACACGGUCCAAACUCCUACGGGAGGCAGCAGUGAGGAAUAUUGGUCAAUGGGCGAGAGCCUGAACCAGCCAAGUAGCGUGCAGGAAGACGGCCCUAUGGGUUGUAAACUGCUUUUAUAAGGGAAUAAAGUUAGUCUCGUGAGACUUUUUGCAUGUACCUUAUGAAUAAGGACCGGCUAAUUCCGUGCCAACAGCCGCGGUAAUACGGAGGGUCCGGGCGUUAUCCGGAUUUAUUGGGUUUAAAGGGAGCGUAGGCCGGAGAUUAAGCGUGUUGUGAAAUGUAGACGCUCAACGUCUGCACUGCAGCGCGAACUGGUUUCCUUGAGUACGCACAAAGUGGGCGGAAUUCGUGGUGUAGCGGUGAAAUGCUUAGAUAUCACGAAGAACUCCGAUUGCGAAGGCAGCUCACUGGAGCGCAACUGACGCUGAAGCUCGAAAGUGCGGGUAUCGAACAGGAUUAGAUACCCUGGUAGUCCGCACGGUAAACGAUGGAUGCCCGCUGUUGGUCUGAACAGGUCAGCGGCCAAGCGAAAGCAUUAAGCAUCCCACCUGGGGAGUACGCCGGCAACGGUGAAACUCAAAGGAAUUGACGGGGGCCCGCACAAGCGGAGGAACAUGUGGUUUAAUUCGAUGAUACGCGAGGAACCUUACCCGGGCUUGAAUUGCAGAGGAAGGAUUUGGAGACAAUGACGCCCUUCGGGGUCUCUGUGAAGGUGCUGCAUGGUUGUCGUCAGCUCGUGCCGUGAGGUGUCGGCUUAAGUGCCAUAGCGAGCGCAACCCCUCUCCUUAGUUGCCAUCAGGUUAAGCUGGGCACUCUGGGGACACUGCCACCGUAAGGUGUGAGGAAGGUGGGGAUGACGUCAAAUCAGCACGGCCCUUACGUCCGGGGCUACACAC
rnacentral:rRNA from 1 species